GUGGGGAAUUUUGGACAAUGGGCGCAAGCCUGAUCCAGCCAUUCCGCGUGCAGGAUGAAGGCCUUCGGGUUGUAAACUGCUUUUGUACGGAACGAAAAGGUUCUCUCUAAUACAGGGGGCUGAUGACGGUACCGUAAGAAUAAGCACCGGCUAACUACGUGCCAGCAGCCGCGGUAAUACGUAGGGUGCAAGCGUUAAUCGGAAUUACUGGGCGUAAAGCGUGCGCAGGCGGUUAUAUAAGACAGAUGUGAAAUCCCCGGGCUCAACCUGGGAACUGCAUUUGUGACUGUAUAGCUAGAGUACGGUAGAGGGGGAUGGAAUUCCGCGUGUAGCAGUGAAAUGCGUAGAUAUGCGGAGGAACACCGAUGGCGAAGGCAAUCCCCUGGACCUGUACUGACGCUCAUGCACGAAAGCGUGGGGAGCAAACAGGAUUAGAUACCCGUGUAGUCC
rnacentral:rRNA from 1 species